UACGAAGGGUGCAAGCGUUACUCGGAAUUACUGGGCGUAAAGCGUGCGUAGGUGGUGAGUUAAGUCUGUCGUGAAAGCCCCGGGCUCAACCUGGGAAUGGCGAUGGAUACUGGCUCGCUAGAGUGCGGUAGAGGAGAGUGGAAUUCCCGGUGUAGCAGUGAAAUGCGUAGAGAUCGGGAGGAACAUCAGUGGCGAAGGCGGACACCUAGCCCGCACCUGACGCUGAGGCGCGAAAGCGUGGGGAGCGAACUGG
rnacentral:rRNA from 1 species